rnacentral:tRNA from 1 species
GCCGGUUUAGCUCAGUCUGGUAGAGCAACUGAUUUGUAAUCAGUGGGUCGCGGGUUCGAAUCCUGCAGCCGGCACCA